AAAAACUCCGAAGCCCUCUUGCCUAAGUGCAGCCAUUGUUUGGCUGAAUACGGGAAGUUGGCCGUGGUUCAACGAGCCACCGGGUUGGGGCAGAAAUGCCUUGGCCUCCCGACAUUUGGAAAGGUGUUUUAAGG
rnacentral:ncRNA from 1 species